rnacentral:rRNA from 1 species
GACGAACGCUGGCGGCGUGCUUAACACAUGCAAGUCGAACGGAAAGGCCCUGCUUUUGUGGGGUGCUCGAGUGGCGAACGGGUGAGUAACACGUGAGUAACCUGCCCUUGACUUUGGGAUAACUUCAGGAAACUGGGGCUAAUACCGGAUAGGAGCUCCUGCUGCGUGGUGGGGGUUGGAUAGUUUCGGCGGUUGGGGAUGGACUCGCGGCUUAUCAGCUUGUUGGUGGGGUAGUGGCUUACCAAGGCUUUGACGGGUAGCCGGCCUGAGAGGGUGACCGGCCAAAUUGGGACUGAGAUACGGCCCAGACUCCUACGGGAGGCAGCAGUGGGGAAUAUUGCACAAUGGGCGGAAGGCUGAUGCAGCCACGCCGCGUGCGGGAUGACGGCCUUCGGGUUGUAAACCGCUUUCGCCUGUGACGAAGCGUGAGUGACGGUAAUGGGUAAAGAAGCACCGGCUAACUACGUG